GCUUACGGCCAUACCACCCUGAACCCGCCUGAUCUCGGAAGCUACGCAGUGUCGGGCCUGGUUAGUACUUGUAUGGGAGACCACCUGGGAAUACCAGGUGCUGUAAGCU
rnacentral:rRNA from 1 species